GUAAGAAGAUGUAUUUUAAACAAUUGAAAUAGUUCAUUAUAAAUUGAAAUGCAAUGUUUAUGUAAUUAUCCAUUUGAUAUUGAUAUUGAUAUAAAUCUAAAACUAUUCUUUCUGAAUACAACAAUCAUCAUCCUUAUCUGGUCAUUAUGUAAACGGGUACGCUACUAUAUCUAAAUUUAGUGUUCAAUACACUUAUAUUACAGAGCAAGACCGAACUAAGCUCGUCUGAUUCUAGUGUAUAGGAUAACGUAUCAAACGAAUGCGAGUCUACAAGAUAACAGUGCCGUCAUAAUUUCUGACGAUGAAAUUUCCGAGACAUCUGAUCGAAGCCUUUUGAAUCUGAGCUCUACACCACAAAUGAAAAUCCCUCUCUAGACGAGCAGAUUUGUCAGAUGAAACCUUUUCUUCUUAUCCACUGCUACGGUAAACUAAAGAGUAGAUUUUCAAAUUACACUGCUAAAUAUGACUAGCAUUAGCUACGUGUAGUAGUGCAAAAUAAUCCAUCAACUGUAUUAGCAGGUGUAGCCUAUACACGAGUCCACUGCUGG
ensembl:lncRNA